AGUCUCAAAAAUUUUCUCGUGUUGUAGGGACUUAAUUUUAUUUUUCAUUUUCAAAAUUUUCAAUUCUUCCAUUCUUCCCUCACUUCAGCUCUACCGGAAACACCUCCCUUCUUCUUCUUCGAUCUUCCUCUCUGCUUUGUUCACCUUCCCAUCUACUUUGUUCAUCUUCCUCUCUACUUUGUUCACCUCUGGGUUUUUUCUCUCUCCUCUGCUUCUCAGUCACUCUCCUAUACUCCUCUUAUCUGGUCCGGUAGAAAAAUAUUUCACAAGCAGACCUAACUUGCCGUAAUUCAACCACGGAGACCUAGCUUGCCGGGAUUUUGAUUUGGAAUUAAGUUUAAGAAAUUAGGGUUUGUGAAUUAGAAUUUGGGGAUUUGGGAGUUCGGGCUUUUCGUAUCGGCAGCAGAGCACUACUCGGAACCACUCCACAGCAGCAGCGUGAGUGACGGACGACAACCCGCGGUGGUGGUUGGCGGAGCUUGCUAGGGAUAUGUAUCUUACAAGUUUAGGAUCAUGCAGCAGCACUCCAAACAUGCAGAUGUCCUUUGUGUCGCCGUCCCAUUAGCUCGUUAAUACCUAUUGAGGCUUCCCAGCAACAACGCGUUAAUCCAGAAGUUACAAAUAUUUUAGGGAGACUGGAAAUGUAUAAUCGUCGAUAUGGUGAACACUUCAGUGGUUUCAUGCAGGUCUAUACUACGAGGAAUGCGCCUUAUGCUAGUGAGGAAAUUGAUGUGGUCCGUGAGCAAUGGGCUAAUUUUUUUACCAGCAAGUAUUUAUUAUUGGCCUGAGCGCGUUUGAUCGAGUUGGCUUAGAUGUUAUAGAACAAUAUUUUAUAUUAAAAUGUAUGCGUACGUUGAAAUUGGAACGUACAUAUAUUUAAAUGUACUACAUGCACUUUGUAUUGGGAUAUAUAGUAUACAAAA